rnacentral:sRNA from 1 species
AUCAGACAGCACAACGGCUUGGGAGGCAGAAAUCAUGUUCGUCGAUAAUGUGGUGCUCGCAGGGGUAGUCACGGUCGGCCUGAUGGUCGUCUUCCUCGGCGGUUUCGGAUAUUUCAUCUGGAAGGAUGCGCAAAAGAAGCGUUGAUCCCGCUGGUGUUACAGAGCACGCAAGGCAUUUAGGGCGACUUAGGUCGCCCCUUUUUCUG